AUGUCCAUCUUCUUCUUCUCCUUCUUCUUGCCCCUCCUCCUGUUUCCACCAUGCUGCAGCUGCUGCUCCCGGCACCUUCUUCUCCACGGCGACGCCAACCCCUCCUCCUCGCUCGCGGGCAUGCUCCAGGCGCGGGACGGCAACGUCACCGACGGCCUCAGGCGCUACCUGGCGCGCUUCGGCUACGCGUCCACGCCUGACGACGCCGACGGCCAGCUCGUGGUGCGGCUCUACCAGUCCACCCUCGGCCUCCCCGUCACCGGCCGCCUCGACGCCCGCACGCUCGACCUCCUCGCCACCCCGCGCUGCGGCGUCCCGGACCUCCAGACGAACGCCACCGCCCGCUUCGCCUUCUUCGCCGGCCAGCCGCGCUGGGCGCGCGCGCCGGGCCACUUCCUGCUCACCUACGCCGUGCUCUCCGACCCUCCCUACCAGCCCCUCCCUGAUCAUCUCCCGCGCGGGGCCGUGCGCGCCGCCUUCCGCCGCGCGUUCGCGCGCUGGGCGCGCGUCAUCCCGGUGCGGUUCCGCGAGAUGCGCGACUACAACACGGCGGACGUGCGCGUGGGCUUCCUCGCGGGCGACCACGGCGACGGCGAGCCCUUCGACGGCCCGCUCGGCGUGCUCGGCCACGCCUUCUCCCCGCCCAGCGGCCAGCUCCACCUCGACGCCGCCGAGCGGUGGGCCGUCCUCGGCCACGACGGCGACGACCCCGGCUCCGGCGCCGUGGACCUCGAGUCGGUGGCCACGCACGAGAUCGGCCACGUGCUGGGCCUGGCGCACUCGUCGGUCCCGGACGCCGUCAUGUACCCGAGCCUGAAGCCGCGCAGCCGCAAGGCGGACCUCACCCUGGACGACGUCCGCGGCGCGCAGGCGCUCUACGGCUCCAACCCGCGCUUCAGCCUCAGCUCCCUCUCCGAGCCCGACACCUCCUCAGCCGCCCCGGCGGUGGCCACCACCAGGUCGCCCGGGAAGACGACGACGACGCAUACGGCCAUCCUGCUCUUGCUUGUCACCGUCACUCCUCUGCUCCUCCUCUGCUAG
rnacentral:rRNA from 1 species